rnacentral:rRNA from 1 species
GACGAACGCUGGCGGCGUGCUUAACACAUGCAAGUCGAACGGAAAGGCCCUGCUUUUGUGGGGUGCUCGAGUGGCGAACGGGUGAGUAACACGUGAGUAACCUGCCCUUGACUUUGGGAUAACUUCAGGAAACUGGGGCUAAUACCGGAUAGGAGCUCCUGCUGCAUGGUGGGGGUUGGAAAGUUUCGGCGGUUGGGGAUGGACUCGCGGCUUAUCAGCUUGUUGGUGGGGUAGUGGCUUACCAAGGCUUUGACGGGUAGCCGGCCUGAGAGGGUGACCGGCCACAUUGGGACUGAGAUACGGCCCAGACUCCUACGGGAGGCAGCAGUGGGGAAUAUUGCACAAUGGGCGGAAGCCUGAUGCAGCAACGCCGCGUGCGGGAUGACGGCCUUCGGGUUGUAAACCGCUUUCGCCUGUGACGAAGCGUGAGUGACGGUAAUGGGUAAAGAAGCACCGGCUAACUACGUGCCAGCAGCCGCGGUGAUACGUAGGGUGCGAGCGUUGUCCGGAUUUAUUGGGCGUAAAGGGCUCGUAGGUGGUUGAUCGCGUCGGAAGUGUAAUCUUGGGGCUUAACCCUGAGCGUGCUUUCGAUACGGGUUGACUUGAGGAAGGUAGGGGAGAAUGGAAUUCCUGGUGGAGCGGUGGAAUGCGCAGAUAUCAGGAGGAACACCAGUGGCGAAGGCGGUUCUCUGGGCCUUUCCUGACGCUGAGGAGCGAAAGCGUGGGGAGCGAACAGGCUUAGAUACCCUGGUAGUCCACGCUGUAAACGGUGGGUACUAGGUGUGGGGUCCAUUCCACGGGUUCCGUGCCGUAGCUAACGCUUUAAGUACCCCGCCUGGGGAGUACGGCCGCAAGGCUAAAGCUCAAAGGAAUUGACGGGGCCCCGCACAAGCGGCGGAGCAUGCGGAUUAAUUCGAUGCAACGCGUAGAACCUUACCUGGGUUUGACAUGGAUCGGGAGUGCUCAGAGAUGGGUGUGCCUCUUUUGGGGUCGGUUCACAGGUGGUGCAUGCCUGUCGUCAGCUCGUGUCGUGAGAUGUUGGGUUAAGUCCCGCAACGAGCGCAACCCUUGUUCACUGUUGCCAGCACGUUAUGGUGGGGACUCAGUGGAGACCGCCGGGGUCAACUCGGAGGAAGGUGGGGAUGACGUCAAGUCAUCAUGCCCCUUAUGUCCAGGGCUUCACGCAUGCUACAAUGGCUGGUACAGAGAGUGGCGAGCCUGUGAGGGUGAGCGAAUCUCGGAAAGCCGGUCUCAGUUCGGAUUGGGGUCUGCAACUCGACCUCAUGAAGUCGGAGUCGCUAGUAAUCGCAGAUCAGCAACGCUGCGGUGAAUACGUUCCCGGGGCU